CACGUAGUUCUGACGCUACGUGCCCUCCGCACGUUACUUGGAUAAAAAAGCAGCCUUUGGAGGCGAAGAAUCGAGCGCACACCAGAGGAAACCGGACGGGAGAGGAACGGAAGGAAUUAAAGCCAGCAGCGAACGAGGAGGGUUCACAGCCAUGGCGGCGAACGAGGAGGGUUCGCCCGCGGACGCGAAGAUCUGCGGCGGGCUGGCGGGGGGGAUCCCGAUGGCGGAGCUGGAGCAGGUGUUCCGGCGGUACGACGCGAACGGCGACGGCAAGAUCUCGGCGGAGGAGCUGGCGUCCGUGCUGCGCGCGCUGGGCGCGGCCCCGGGGCCGGGGGAGGUCGCGCGCAUGAUGGAGGAGAUGGACGCCGACAGGGACGGCUUCGUCGACCUCCGCGAGUUCGCCGCCUUCCACUGCGGCCAGGGCGCCGCCAAUCAGGAGCAGGAGGCGGCGUCGGAGGCCGAGCUCAAGGAGGCGUUCCGGAUGUACGACGCGGACCGCAACGGGCUCAUCUCCGCCCGGGAGCUCCACCGCGUGCUGCGGCAGCUCGGGGACAAGUGCUCCGUCGCCGACUGCUCGCGCAUGAUCCGCUCCGUCGACGCCGACGGCGACGGCAGCGUCAACUUCGAUGAGUUCAAGAAGAUGAUGGGCGGCGGAGGGAGGUAGGUGCUAGGCCGUAGCAAGCGGGAGGCUCUUAAGUUCUAAGCGAGCCCGGUUGGAGAAAACUCUGGAUUUGAUGGUGAAAGGAUUAAUUAUGUAAAGACGAUCAUCUGUACAAAGAACUACAGAACCAACACUUUUGCACUUUUGGGUUGGAGAAUCGAGUGAGGGUGGGGACAAGAAAGGAAACAGGAGUAGAAGAGAAUGGGAUGCCGGAGAUGCCGACGACGGGCGACAUGGGGAAGAAUGGCCUGGCGGCCGGCGGGUAACAGUGUAAAUCCAUAAAACUGAUAUUUCUUUUAGCUAAAAAUGAUCGGUGUAAAACUCUAACCCUUUUGCUGAACGUCAAUCUUUGAAUAUUGCUAGAUUCACCCUGUAUAGUUUGGUGUUAUUUUUUUUUAGCAAUUUCACGAGUCAUUGACGUUUUACAAGGCUGAAGCAAUGGUUUGCAGCGUUGAGGUGUUCGAGCUGUCUAAACCAAAAUGCUGUUUCAACCCCACCCCACCCCCCACCAACAACACACACACAAAAAAAAAGAAAAUCUGUUUUGGAGGCUCAACGCUAUGGACCAUGGCGUUGAGCUCCCAAUUUUUUUAUUGCUUACAAAUUCGGUAAGUUUUUUCAACGCUAAGUUAUAUGACGUAGUCAUGUUUAAUACCAUAGAGGUUAGAUUGACCAAAGAGUUCAGAUUCGGUUCAAUUUUGCAGUAGGGUUAUUUUUGGUUGAACUAUUAGAAAAGGAUUUUUUCUCAAAUGUUGAAAAUAAAACAUUUGUAGCAAUAUUUAAUUUACAAAAUCAUAACAUGUAAAGUAAAGAAAAUCAGAUCUCUUCAAACUAGAUAUGCUACACAACAGUAAGAAAUAGGAUAACCGAUCUAAUUACAUGGCAUGAUCAACAAUAGAGGUAUUCAAACCCAACAAUACAAAGAGUAGAACAUACGACAUGGUCCUGCAAUAAGCGUGUUGCCUGGUGGUGCAGGAGGUAUAAUCUGCGGACUAUCAUGGUUGCUUUUGGCUGUUGGCAGACCAUUGUUUUCAUGGUCGUCGUUGUUGUUGGCAUCACUUGCAUUCAUGUCAACGAAGAUGUCACUGAAGGAAGGCAUUCGCGUCAGGAAGCUUCCAAAAAACCUUAUUGACUCUCUCCUAGUGUAGGAUCUCAAUGGUCGCGGUUUUGGAGGCUUGCUCUCUUGAAUAGACAUGUAUGCAGUUGUUGGGGUGGAGAAGACGAAGACACCGUAGUAGAUUGUACCUGGAGAGGCUAGGUGUGGAGGCACAGACAUUAGAGUUACAGUUUUGAUGUGGUGGAUCACCUUAUUAUAAAGUCGUCUUAAUGGUCAUUUGAUGAUGAGAAGACCGGAUGGGGCAACUAGCGAUACUACAUACUACUCUGAUUGUACUCAAUCUAUCAUGAGAACAACUAUCAAAGAGUUCUUCUGGUUCUGGGUAUAACACUUGGCCACAAGACGAGCCUUGUACUUUUCGAUCAUACCCUUAGGUUUAUGCUUUUUCUUGAACACCCACUUACAUCAUAUAGGUUUUCAUCUAGGCAACCUUGUUGGGAUGGGAUGAAUAGGGUGGCAUCUUCUCAUGAAUAAUUUCAUGUUUCUCACAGAAAAAAGAGAACUUGAAUAUUACUCUCCACCAGAUUAGACUAAACACUUUUGAUUUUCUUUUCCA